CCAAGGUCAUAGAGCCAGUGGGUGGGGAGGCAGACCUUCAACUUGGGGCCAGAGACCCCCCAUUCCCAGGUCCCACCUGCCCCAGCUGGUGGCAUGUGAGUGUGUGUAUGUGUGUGGGGGCUGCUGACCGCCCGGCAGGUGCAGUCAGACCCAUCUGUGCGCCUGGCCUCCCGCUGCCCCUCGAUCUGCCCCCGUGGCCUGGCUCUGGCUGACGGCUCAUCUCCUCUUUUUCCUACAGCCUCCUGUGCCCACAGGCCCUGAGGCUCCCAUGCCAGCAGGGCAGAGAGGGCGACUGAGUCAAAUCCAGGCUGACCCCAGCCCACUUGUGUUCCCCAAACGCCUGCCUGACCGGAGGCUUCUGGGACCAGGCGAAGGCCGCAGAGGGACUUUGCUAACUGGAAGGAGCCCCAGGGAAGGCUGGGGCAUGUUGGACGGAGCGUCGUCCCAUUUUCAGGGGAAGCCCCCCCGGAGGCUCCGCGGGGCAGUGGGCCUCAAGCCCCUUCUCCUGAAGGAUUAGGUGGCGGUUCUGGUGCAGCCGAGGCUCGACCUACCCUGUCCUGCCACCCGGGAAGCUGGUGGGGCGUGGCGGGGAGCAGAUGGCUGGGUUCCCUUCUGGACUCCGGGCCUUGCUUUGAAGUCCGGUUAUCUCUAUCAGAAUAUUCCUGCUAAUCAGUCAGUUCUGGGUGGGUUGAGCAGCUAAUUAGCCCCUCUGCCUUAACCUGUAAUUACUGCCGGGAGCCCGGGAGCGGGGAUGUGGCCAGGGUUAUCUGCAAGGCUGCCAAGGGCGGUAGGAGGGCUGCGGGCAGGGGCGGCUGGGCCCUACCCGCAGGCUCGUCAGGGGCCACAGCACAGCACGCUGUCCGCUGCCCGGGGGGGGACCGUACCGGGCAGGGGUGGACGCGGGAGGUAAAGUGGGGUGCAGGCUGCUGCCUCAGCAGAGCUGGGGGGCUUAGCAGAGGGCCUGCCGGGGCUGAGCCCUGAAGGCUAAUGGAUUCUUUUAAAAUGUUCUAUUUUUCCG
rnacentral:lncRNA from 1 species